rnacentral:rRNA from 1 species
UACGUAGGGUGCGAGCGUUAAUCGGAAUUACUGGGCGUAAAGCGUGCGCAGGCGGUUCGUUGUGUCGGUGGUGAAAUCCCCGGGCUUAACCUGGGAACUGCAUUGGAAACUAACGGGCUCGAGUGUGGCAGAGGGGGGUGGAAUUCCACGUGUAGCAGUGAAAUGCGUAGAGAUGUGGAGGAACACCGAUGGCGAAGGCAGCCCCCUGGGCUAACACUGACGCUCAGGCACGAAAGCGUGGGGAGCAAACAGG